UCAAGCAACUAAGCGCAUAUGAUGGAUGCCUAGGCAGUAAGAGGCGAUGAAGGACGUAGUAGUCUGCGAUAAGCCCCGGCGAGCUGACAAACAAGCUUCGACCCGAGGAUUUCCGAAUGGGGAAACCCACUCUGUUUACAGAGUAUUCUGUACUGAAUACAUAGGUGCAGGAAGCGAACGCGGUGAACUGAAACAUCUAAGUAGCCGCAGGAAAAGAAAUCAACCGAGAUUCCCUGAGUAGCGGCGAGCGAACGGGGAACAGCCCAGUUACCAUCAAGUGGAUGACCCUAGUAAAACGAUCUGGAAAGUUCGGCCAAAGAAGGUGAUAGCCCUGUAUACGAAAGGCGAUGAAGCGGAGUAACGAAGAGUAGGACGGGGCACGAGAAACCUUGUCUGAACAUGGGGGGACCAUCCUCCAAGGCUAAAUACUACUUACUGACCGAUAGUGAACUAGUACCGUGAGGGAAAGGCGAAAAGAACCCCGGAGAGGGGAGUGAAAUAGAACCUGAAAUCGUAUGCGUACAAGCAGUGGGAGCCCUUCGGGGUGACUGCGUACCUUUUGUAUAAUGGGUCAGCGAGUUGUUUUCAGUUGCAAGCUUAACCACUUAGGGAAGGCGUAGGGAAACCGAGUCUGAAAUGGGCGAUUUAGUAGCUGGGAGCAGACCCGAAACCAGGCGAUCUAUCCAUGGCCAGGGUGAAGGCAGGGUAAUACCUGCUGGAGGCCCGAACCGGGUAAUGUUGAAAAAUUAUCGGAUGAGUUGUGGAUAGGAGUGAAAGGCUAAUCAAGCUUGGAGAUAGCUGGUUCUCCUCGAAAGCUAUUUAGGUAGCGCCUCGUGUAUCACUCUCGGGGGUAGAGCACUGUUUCGGCUAGGGGGCCAUCCCGGCUUACCAAACCGAUGCAAACUCCGAAUACCGAGAAGUGCAAUCACGGGAGACACACUGCGGGUGCUAACGUCCGUAGUGGAAAGGGAAACAACCCAGACCGCCAGCUAAGGUCCCCAAAUCAAAGCUAAGUGGGAAACGAAGUGGGAAGGCACAGACAGCCAGGAGGUUGGCUUAGAAGCAGCAACCCUUUAAAGAAAGCGUAACAGCUCACUGGUCUAGUCGGCCUGCGCGGAAGAUUUAACGGGGCUUAAGCUUUGUACCGAAGCUGCGGAUGCGUACGUUUCACUUUAGUUCAUUCAGUCAAAGUUACGAUUGUGAGCGUGCUAGACAAGCACGCGAACAAAGCGCUUUUUGCGUUUCAGGCGGACUGCGCGAAUGAAACAGUGAACUAAAGGAAGCGUACGCAUGGUAGAGGAGCGUUCUGUAAGCCUGUGAAGGUGUGCUGUGAGGCAUGCUGGAGGUAUCAGAAGUGCGAAUGCUGACAUGAGUAACGAUAAUGCGGGUGAAAAACCCGCACGCCGAAAGCCCAAGGGUUCCUGCGCAACGUUAAUCGGCGCAGGGUGAGUCGGCUCCUAAGGCGAGACCGAAAGGUGUAGUCGAUGGGAAACUGGUUAAAAUUCCAGUACUUUGUGUUACUGCGAUGAGGGGACGGAGAAGGCUAGAUCUACCGGGCGAUGGUUGUCCCGGGGAAAGUAUGUAGGCAGAGGGCUUAGGCAAAUCCGGGCUCUUAAUGUCGAGAUACGAGACGACCGGUCUUUGUACCGGAAAGUGGUCGGUGCCAUGCUUCCAGGAAAAGCCUCUAAGCUUCAGGUAACACAGAACCGUACCGUAAACCAACACAGGUGGGCAGGGAGAGAAUCCUAAGGCGCUUGAGAAAACUCUGGUGAAGGAACUAGGCAAAUUGGUACCGUAACUUCGGGAGAAGGUACGCCUCUGCUGGUGAUGAGACUUGCUCUCUGAGCUGGUGGGGGUCGAAGUGACCAGGUGGCUGCGACUGUUUACUAAAAACACAGCACUCUGCAAACACGAAAGUGGACGUAUAGGGUGUGACGCCUGCCCGGUGCCGGAAGGUUAAUUGAUGGGGUUAGCUUCGGCGAAGCUCUUGAUCGAAGCCCCGGUAAACGGCGGCCGUAACUAUAGAUUGUUGUAGUUACGCAAAUAAACUUGGCUAUAUGCUGGAAACUCCGGUGAAUCCGCUGGUACUCGCUCGAUAGACUGAGCAGUGACAAUCCAUGCGGUGCGGACAAUCAGCAGGAAAGGCUUCUGGUAUGACUUCAUUAAACGUUAAAGAAAUUCCUGACAAAAUUGGCUAUUACCUUGCAGGUUUUGCCGAUGGUGAAGGGAGUUUCAAUUUGUCUUUUCGAAAACGCAAAGACUAUUCCAUGCCAUGGAAAGUAUCGUUGUGUUUCAACGUUUCGCAAAAGGACAAAGUCAUUCUGGCUUUGUACAAGCGACACCUGAAAUGUGGCACUUUGCGAGGAAGAAAAGACGGCGUUUGGUAUUACGAAGUCAAUAAUUUCACCGCGAUUCAGGAAAACGUCAUUCCGUUCUUUAGAAGGUUUGGUUUUCUUUCUGCAAAGAAGAAACGUGAUUUUGCGAAGUUCAUGCAAAUAGCGAAUUUAAUUGCAGAUGGGGAGCAUCUGAAGAAAAGCGGAAUAAGACGAAUUCUUGAAAUCAGAAAGACAAUGAACGACGGCGGAGUCGAUCGUAAAAAAUACGAUGACGCUGAAAUUCUGCGUUUGGUGAAAACAGAAGAAUCCUCAGAGACUAUACGCCAAGCAUGAUUCAGACAUUUUUAUCCAAUGUCGCUAGUCUGAAUGAUGAUGAUAUAGUCCGAUCUGCAUAGCGAUAUGCAGGGUUUUUGUUCCUUUGAUAAAAACGUAUGAAUCGUGCAUACGAAGCUACUGCUUAAACCUAACCGGUUGCAUGUUUGACCGGGGAUAACACAGGAUGAACGGUCCUAAGGUAGCGAAAUUCCUUGUCGGGUAAGUUCCGACCUGCACGAAUGGCGUAACGAUGGCCACACUGUCUCCACCAGAGACUCAGUGAAAUUGAAAUCGCUGUUAAGAUGCAGCGUACCCGCGGCAAGACGGAAAGACCCCGUGCACCUUUACUACAGCUUUACACUGAAUUUUGAUUAUGUUUGUGUAGGAUAGGUGGGAGGCUUUGAAGCGUGAUCGCUAGAUUGCGUGGAGCCAACCUUGAAAUACCACCCUGACAUGUUUGGAGUUCUAACCCAGGUCCAUUAUCUGGAUCGGGGACCGUGUAUGGUGGGUAGUUUGACUGGGGCGGUCUCCUCCUAAAGAGUAACGGAGGAGCACAAAGGUACUCUCAGUACGGUCGGACAUCGUACGUUGCGUGUAAAGGCAUAAGAGUGCUUGACUGCGAGACAGACACGUCGAGCAGGGGCGAAAGCCGGUCUUAGUGAUCCGGUGGUUCUGUAUGGAAGGGCCAUCGCUCAACGAAUAAAAGGUACGCCGGGGAUAACAGGCUGAUUCCUCCCAAGAGUCCACAUCGACGGAGGAGUUUGGCACCUCGAUGUCGGCUCAUCACAUCCUGGGGCUGUAGCAGGUCCCAAGGGUAUGGCUGUUCGCCAUUUAAAGUGGUACGCGAGCUGGGUUUAGAACGUCGCGAGACAGUUCGGUCCCUAUCUGCCGUGGGCGUUGGAAAUUUGAGAAGAGCUGCUCCUAGUACGAGAGGACCGGAGUGGACGUAUCUCUGGUGUUCCGGUUGUCACGCCAGUGGCAUUGCCGGGUAGCUACAUACGGACGGGAUAACCGCUGAAAGCAUCUAAGCGGGAAGCCCCCUUCAAGAUUAGAUUUCCCCGGACCCUUGAGGUCCCUGAAGAGCCCUCGAAGACUACGAGGUUGAUAGGCUGGGUGUGGAAGUUCAGUAAUGAAUGAAGCUAACCAGUACUAAUUGCUCGUGCGGCUUGGCCAU
rnacentral:rRNA from 1 species